UACGGAGGGUGCGAGCGUUGUCCGGAAUCACUGGGCGUAAAGGGCGCGUAGGUGGCCUGUGGAAGUCUGCGGUGAAAGCCCGGCGCUCAACGCCGGGUCGGCCGUGGAUACUCUCGGGCUUGAGCUUACUAGAGGCAGAUGGAAUUCCGGGUGUAGCGGUGGAAUGCGUAGAGAUCCGGAAGAACACCGGUGGCGAAGGCGGUUGCCUGGGGCUUUGCUGACGCUGAUGCGCGAAAGCGUGGGGAGCGAUCCGG
rnacentral:rRNA from 1 species